rnacentral:rRNA from 1 species
UGGGGAAUAUUGCACAAUGGGCGCAAGCCUGAUGCAGCCAUGCCGCGUGUGUGAAGAAGGCCUUCGGGUUGUAAAGCACUUUCAGCGAGGAGGAAGGUGGUGAGCUUAAUACGCUCAUCAAUUGACGUUACUCGCAGAAGAAGCACCGGCUAACUCCGUGCCAGCAGCCGCGGUAAUACGGAGGGUGCAAGCGUUAAUCGGAAUUACUGGGCGUAAAGCGCACGCAGGCGGUUUGUUAAGUCAGAUGUGAAAUCCCCGGGCUCAACCUGGGAACUGCAUUUGAAACUGGCAAGCUAGAGUCUCGUAGAGGGGGGUAGAAUUCCAGGUGUAGCGGUGAAAUGCGUAGAGAUCUGGAGGAAUACCGGUGGCGAAGGCGGCCCCCCUGGACGAAGACUGACGCUCAGGUGCGAAAGCGUGGGGCAGCAAACAGGAUUAGAUACCCUGGUAGUCCACGCUGUAAACGAUGUCGAUUUGGAGGUUGUGCCCUUGAGGCGUGGCUUCCGGAGCUAACGCGUUAAAUCGACCGCCNGGGGAGUACGGCCGCAAGGUUAAAACUUAAAUGAAUUG